GACGAACGCUGGCGGCGUGCUUAACACAUGCAAGUCGAACGGUAAGGCCCCUUCGGGGGUACACGAGUGGCGAACGGGUGAGUAACACGUGAGCAACCUGCCCUUGACUCUGGAAUAACAGUUGGAAACAGCUGCUAAUACUGGAUAUUCAUCGUCUCCUUCCUGGGGGGUGGUGGAAAGCUCCGGCGGUCAGGGAUGGGCUCGCGGCCUAUCAGCUUGUUGGUGAGGUAAUGGCUCACCAAGGCUUCGACGGGUAGCCGGCCUGAGAGGGCGACCGGCCACACUGGGACUGAGAUACGGCCCAGACUCCUACGGGAGGCAGCAGUGGGGAAUAUUGCACAGUGGGCGCAAGCCUGAUGCAGCAACGCCGCGUGCGGGAUGACGGCCUUCGGGUUGUAAACCGCUUUCAGUAGGGACGAAGGGUGACUGACGGUACCUACAGAAGAAGGACCGGCUAACUACGUG
rnacentral:rRNA from 1 species